ACAAUUUCCAAAGAUGUGGUAUUGCUGUGUGUGUGAGCUCUUACACAGUCGGGUUUGUCUCUCCUCCACAGAUAUGGAAUAUCUGUGAACUGCAUCAGCAUGCCCUUCAGAUUAGCGAUGACCACAGCACCCAGCACAGACUGGAAAACAGUCAAAGGACGGCCACCAGUCCCGUGCUGAUACCAGACACGACGUCGGGCAGCAGCCACUCUUUGACCCGGUAGAUCCUCAUCCAGCCGAUGACCGGCAGAAGGGACAGAGCGGCGUUCUUGGCUCGUUUGGCGUCACAACUGGAAUCACAACAAACACGAAAUGACACCGGGGAAAUAAAGGAAUCCUCGAUUAAA